UGCAAGUCGAGCGCCCCGAAGGGGAGCGGCAGACGGGUGAGUAACGCGUGGGACUCCUUUUGCUACGGAAUAACUCAGGGAAACUUGUGCUAAUACCGUAUGUGCCCUUCGGGGGAAAGAUUUAUCGGCAAAGGAUCGGCCCGCGUUGGAUUAGCUAGUUGGUGAGGUAAAGGCUCACCAGCGAUCCAUAGCUGGUCUGAGAGGAUGAUCAGCCCACUGGGACUGAGACACGGCCCAGACUCCUACGGGAGGCAGCAGUGGGGAAUAUUGGACAAUGGGGCAAGCCUGAUCCACUGCCGCGUGAGUGAUGAAGGCCCUAGGGUUGUAAAGCUCUUUCACCGGGAAUAAUGACGGUAACCGGAAAAAGCCCCGGCUAACUUGCCAGCCGGAAUACAGGGCUAGGUUGUUCGGAUUUCGUGGAUUUAUC
rnacentral:rRNA from 1 species